rnacentral:rRNA from 1 species
AUUUUAAACCCCCAAAAAUUUUAGAAAAAAAACCUUAAAAAUACUCGGCCGAAAGCACUGAUCGUUUAAAAAAUCAUAAUUUGUCAACAUCAACUCAUCCAUUUCAUCAUUCCAUAGGCACUGGUAGAGCAGUAAUAUUAUUUUGAAAAAAUUUUUAAAUCUCUAAAAAACAAGAAAAAUUAAAAGAAAAUGAAAGAAAUAAUACAACUAAAAUUUGAAAAAAGAAAACAAAAAACAGUCAAGUUCCUUUCUAAGUCUUCUAUAUUAUCUAUAAAUAAAUAUACAUUAUGCCAAAAUUGUCUAUAUACAAAUUUUUCAAAAAGUCUCCGCGAUUUAAAAUUUCAAAAUACCUAAUGCUACGUUUACAUAAAAAACUUUAGCGUUUUUCGCCGAAAAUAGUAUGGAGAAAUGAGAGAGAAAAAAUGCCGGAAUCUUUUCCGCAAAUUGAGGCGUGAGCGUCUGUUAUGCAUUAACUAAAGACUGUCCAAUUUUUUUACUAUUAAAAGCGCCCACCCUCUGUUCAAAAUCUUUUCCCCUCAAAUAAUGCCUGAUCAAGCAAACGUUACUUCAACAGAACAAUCCUUACUAUUCAACCACACAACUACAACAACAACAACAACAGAGCCGCCUACCACAACAGUUGAGAUGACAACGGGAAAUGGAGAUGUAUUGAAGUUUUUUGGAAGAAUUUGUUUCCUCGGAUACGGGCAAGGCAUCUAUGGCUAUUUUUUUUUUUUUAUUUUGGCAUCUAUGGCUAUUAGCUGUUGAGUUUAUAUUUUGGUUAAUAAGUGGCUGGAAGUUUUGGUCAUCUAGAGAGAUUGUGGGCGCCACAAAAAAGUUUUGGUUCGGUUAGUUGGUCAUAACUUUUUCAAAAUUCUCCCAAUCGAAGGUUAUAGGCACCAAUAAAUAUGUAGGGACAGUUUAGGGAUCUUUCUCUUCCAUUUUUCGAUUCUAAUAAUUUGGACGGCCCAUCCAUUAGAGAUGUCCAAGACUCUUGAUCAAGACUUCUUGGGUUUUCCUCGGUCUUGGUCUUGGGGUGUAGUCUUGGUCUCGAGUCUUGAAUCAUGGAAAAUUUUGUGUCUUGGACAUCUCAACCAUCCAUAGUACAUUUUCUAAAAACCCAAAUCUGAUGACCAAAAUUAUCGACUCUUCAAUUAACUCCAAAAAUCUUUUUUUUAUUUUCUAGUUUUGUUCUAGUCGUUGUUCUGUUUUUUGUUUGGCGAUGCUUUUGUCGUAAGAAACAAAAGCCUAAGAGGGCAAUCAAAUAUAAUGCUGCUGGUUCAACAUAUCAUUAUAAACCACCAAAAGCAAAACCCCAGAAGACACAACCUUCAGCAGAUGUUUACAACAAGAAUAAUGCUAGCAAAACAGAUAUGGACGGCAGCAGCAAAAUUGAUUUUCCGCUUACAAAAUAUUCUUCGUAAAAAAAAAUUUUUUUUUAAUUAAUUUUUUCCCUCAAAAAUAGGUUGCCACCUUCGCUUCUUACUGAUAGUGACAGAGAGAAAUCAGCAAUCAAGUCAACAAUCAAGUAAAAUUUUACGGAAUUUUUUGCACUUUUAAGGAGAAUAUGAAAUUUUUGCGGACAAGUUUUGCGGAUUUUGGCUUUGGGUUGAUAAGGUUAUUCUCAUCUGAAUCAGGGAUGGCCGAAAUUUCGUUGCGUCGGAAACGAAAUAAAUUUUUUCCGGUAGAGUCCAUCCUCACAUUUUAUUUUUUAGUUGAAGUCAAGGUUUGGAUGUUACCUAAAUGGGGCAUUACAGCCAAAAAAGGGGGAAAAAUCCGCAAAAUUUGUCCGCAAAAUUUGUCAAAUCUUUAAGUGUGCAAAACUUAAAUUUAAAAAAAUUUUUAUUUUUUUCAAGUAAAAAAUCAAAGAUGCGUCCGCCAGUAAACAAAAGAAACAAAGAAAGUAGUCUUUCUAUUCUGUGAGAAUGAAGUUUGUAAUUAAAUAAAUAAAUAGAUUUGUGUUAAUAUUGUGUGAUAAUAAUAGAUAUGUAUGUUGUAAUUAUUUAAUUGUGUGUAUAUUUAAAUGCGUUGUUUGCCGUUUUUUCUUUUUUUUUGAACCUGAGGCGAUGCCGGGUGAGUAUGAGCGGGAUGGAGGGUAGGCCUUUCUAUGCUUGUAAAUCGCUGGUCGGGAGCGACUUUCCCGGAUAUAUGUUAGCACUCGCUAGGAAUUAUUGAUGAUUAAGAUUUUAGCUUCUGCCGACCUUUACUUCUCUAUUCAUUAAUUUCCAACUACGGACUAAGUCGACUAAUCACUUUUUCACUAUUCUUCCUUUACUUUUAUCCUAAGGCAUUUACUUGUCAUUUUCCUCCCCUUUUCCCAUCAUUGCCAAGCAGGAUCAAGUUCACUCAAUUGAUCAUUCCAUCACUUGAGCAGUUUUGGGUUUGCGCUUUUUUAGACGUGCACCGUAUUGACCUUUUGCUUUUUCAUCUGCGCCUUUUGUAAAUUAGAUAAAAUGUAAUUUUCAUUAAAACGAAAAAACAUAAUCUCUAAUCAAAAUAUCUAAAUUGCAUAAAGGUCAUUUUCUAUUAUUUUUAAAGAUUGCCGAACGGACCCCUAAUUUUGUUUUAAUAAGCCGGGCUCAUAUACGGCAACAGAAAUAAACUCCAAAAUUCCCUCUCAAAAUAACUCGUCCAAACUUUUUAUUUAGGAAAUUUCCUUAAUUUUUAAAUGCGGCGUCUUCGUUCAAUGUUUACUUCCAGAGAAAGGCAUGGAGGACAACAUACAAUUUCCCCCCAAUCUUCAGUAGAAGAAGAACAACAUUCUAAUAGUCCAACAACCCCUUCAAAUUCUUCCCAAAAUUCUCUCGAUUUUUUUGUUGACGAUUUAAUAAAUAAAAAGUGGAGUGAUGAAAGUUGGACGAUGAAUGUAGAUUUUGCUUCAGAUCCGUCUGUUUGGGAGAAAUCAAUUUGGUUUUACUUGGAAGAAAUUGGAGGGACUUUUGAAUAAAACUAGACGUGAUAAAAAUAUAAUUUUGAAGGUUUUUUAAUAAAAAAUUUGCUGUAAUUUUUUGUCCGCAAAUUUAUUGCGGACAUCCGCAACAAAUUUUAAACAUCCCCGAGUCCGCGAUCGACUCAUCUCGAGCUCUUUCGAUUAACAUAUACAUAAAUUGGCCAAAUCUAAAAUCUAGCCCCUGUAAAGUCUCCUGCCUGAUCGUACCCAUAUCCGCAGCAGGUCUCCAAGGUGAACAGCCUCUAGUCGAUAGAAUAAUGUAGGUAAGGGAAGUCGGCAAAUUAGAUUCGUAACUUCGGGAAAAGAAUUGGCUCUAAAGGUUGGGUCAGUCGGGCUGUUGUGUGAAACAGGUGGACUUUGCUCGUGGCUGCUUGAGCUUCCUUUCGGGGCGGCGCUUGUGGACUAGUAGUGAGGACUGCUUGUGGAGCGCUUCAGCUGCGUGCUAUUUCGCAAGAUAUAGUACUUCGAUUGGCGCUGAACAACCAGUUUAGAACUGGCACGAACUCCGGGAAUCCGACUGUCUAAUUAAAACAGAGGAGACGGAUGGUCCUUGCAGGACGUUGACCGUGUCUGAUUUCUGCCCAGUGCUCUGAAUGUUAAGCCAAGGAAACUUGAUUAAGCGCGGGUAAACGGCGGGAGUAACUAUGACUCUCUUAAGGUAGCCAAAUGCCUCGUCGGCUAACUACCGACGCGCACGAAUGGAUCAACGAGAUUCCCACUGUCCCUAUCUACUAUCUAGCGAAACCACAGCCAAGGGAACGGGCUUGGCAAAUUUAGCGGGGAAAGAAGACCCUGUUGAGCUUGACUCUAGUCUGACUUUGUGAAGAAUCAUGAGAGGUGUAGCAUAAGUGGGAGUCGCAAGACAACAGUGAAAUACCACUACUUUCAUCGAUUCCUUACUUAAUCGGUAAAACGGGAGUUGUGUCUACGGACCUUCAUUUUUGUUUUAAGACUAGCCACUCGGUGGUUGGUUGACUCGCGCCGAUGACAUUGUCAGGCGGGGAGUUUGACUGGGGCGGUACAUCUGUCAAAUUGUAACGCAGGUGUCCUAAGGCGAGCUCAGAGAGGACGGAAACCUCUCGUUGAGCAAAAAGGCAAAUGCUUACUUGAUCUUGAUUUUCAGUACGAAUACAGACCGCGAAAGCGUGGCUUAUCGAUCCUUUUGAGUUUGUAAAGUUUACAGCAAGAGGUGUCAGAAAAGUUACCACAGGGAUAACUGGCUUGUGGCGGCCAAGCGUCCAUAGCGACGUCGCUUUUUGAUCCUUCGAUGUCGGCUCUUCCUAUCAUUGCGAAGCAGAAUUCGCCAAGCGUUGGAUUGUUCACCCACCAAUAGGGAACGUGAGCUGGGUUUAGACCGUCGUGAGACAGGUUAGUUUUACCCUACUAAAUACUUGUUGCUAUGAUGGUAAUCCUGCUUAGUACGAGAGGAACCGCAGGUUCAGACAUUUGGUUCAUGUGCCUGGUCGAUAGGCCAAUGGCGCGAAGCUACCAUCUGAGGGAUUAUGACUGAACGCCUCUAAGUCAGAAUCCCGCCCAGUCAUGAUAGCAAUAUAUAUCGCUCUCCGGUGUCGGAAGGCAAAAUGUAUGCCAUUUUUUGUGGUAGUACAAGCCCCAGUAUCUGGCAUUUUCCUUCUACUAUAAUUGGUAGUUGGUUGCUAAAAGCUUAGCACUCCUCGUGCAAGUGUAACGUCGGGGCGCAAAAUCACUUGUAUACGACUUGAAUACUGGUCAGGGGGUUGUAUCAGUAGAGCAGCUCUUCGCUGCGAUCUGUUGAGACUUAGCCCUUGAUCGGAUGAUUUGUCUUUUUUAUAUACUAUAGACCUGUUUAUUUUUUACCAUUACCCAUUGAACCAAAAUAAAAUUAAACCCUAAACCUUUUACUGUCCAAAAAUGAAAUUGAAGGCUGUGUAAACAAAGAUAAGAAACGUUUUGCUGCAAAGAAUUGCUUUUCUUAGUUUUCUGUACAAUCCUAUUGGAAGACUCGCUCACUUUUCUUAGUUUUCUGUACAAUCCUAUUUGGAAGACUCGCUCACUUUUCUUAGUUUUCUGUACAAUCCUAUUUGGAAGUUUUCUGUACAAUCCUAUUUCACGAACCCAUCAAAAGUCGUGUUUU